rnacentral:lncRNA from 13 species
AUGCAUACUCAAGACUGGGCUGACCUGGUUUCACACAGUCUUCUCUUUGUGUUGCCCUCACGACACCCACACAACUCCUCCACAGGACUGGUUUUGGAGUUCCCUGUCCAAACUGCCAGAAUGCUGUUAAGAAUCUCCAUGAUCUCAGCUCUUCUUGCAUACUGUAAGUAUAUUGUCCAGUAGUAAAUGCAGGCUACUUUACCAGCCUGUUAGAGCAUGCACCAUGGAAGAAGGGUUGCAUUUUAAAAGUGGAUUUCAGUCAAAACAAUAAACACACUCCGUGCCUAGCACCCCCACAACAACAGUGCAUGAAGAGAACCAUAUUAAGUGGCUGUAAAUGAAUGUCAACAGAAUCCUCGGGGGGUUGCAUCAGCUUAUUGGUGGAAUGACUGUAAUUUACAGCAUGAUGGAGUGUUCCGUGCAACAUUGCAUCUAACCCAGGGUGCUAGGCGCUAGCUAUCAGAGUGGCUUUGAAGGACUGGUGAGCAACAGGCAGCAUCCCUUUUAUUUUAUUUUUUUUCUCCUUUUUUUAUUUCACCUUUAUUUAGCCAGGUAGGCUAGUUGAGAACAAGUUCUCAUUUGCAACUGCGACCUGGCCAAGAUAUAGCCAAGCAGUUUGACACACACAACAACACAGAGGCACACAUGGAAUAAACAAACAUUACAAUCAAUAAUAAAGUAGAACAAUCUAUAUGCAGCGUUUGCAAAUGAGGUAGGAUAAGAGAGGUAGGGCAAUAAAUAGGCCACGGUGGCAAAGUAAUUACAGUACAGCAAUUAAACAAAAUAACACUCGUAUUAAGGCAAUGAAACUAUUCAACUGUCUGUCUCAGUAAAAUAAGACACUCUAUCUACCAUGUAAAUAGUUGUGUUGUCUAAGUAUCUGGAAACAGGGCUCCGCCUGGUUGUAUAAAAACUACCAGUGAGUGCUAUUUAACCUAACAACAAGUCCAUGUGGACCAGCAUGUGCAGCUAGUUGUGUUUGAGAUGUGUGUUCAUAUCAGGGGCUGCCUGGGUAAUCAAUUAGUAUUGAUUUAUCUAGAAAAUCCAACCCCACUGCAUUUCCUCGAGGUUACAAUGGUGUCGGCGUGUGCCAGAGAAAAUUGCUUUCCGUAAGGCCUGACUAUGCCUCAGUGAUAAGUAGCUCAUUUCAAUUACAAGGGCGUUCAGGUGCCAUGACUGAUUGGAAAUUCAUUGUGCAGAGUAAUAGAGUUAAUGAAGAUCCAACACUAGUGUUGAGGCCUGGGUGGGAGCAAUGGAUGCCGGUCAGAAUAACUACAACCUGCCCAUUAACCCCUAAGAUUAGAAGUUAGCGCCUUGUUACGGUUUUACCUGUGGAGGCCCCUGCAUGCUUUUUACAGCGUUGUUGCAGGACAAGUUAAUUCAUUGAGAGUGAUUGAGAAGUCAACCCCCC